rnacentral:tRNA from 1 species
GGGUCGCUAGCUCAGUUGGCUAGAGCGUCUCGUUUACACCGAGAAGGUCGGGGGUUCGAGCCCCUCGCGACCCACCA